GGAGCUGGAGAGAGAGAUGUUGAAUCUGUCUCCCUCUAAGUUCGACACUAGACUAAGGCCCCCAGCAGCAGUCUCCAGAGCCCCGGAUGUGUCUUCACCAACAGGUUUUUCUCCACCCGUGUGGAGGGAGGAUUCGGUUUUCACCAGAGUCCUCCCUGCCAUUACUAUUCUUUGAAAUAGUUUGUUAUUGUGGCCGUGUUCUGGCCUGUUCUGAUGUGUUCUUACUCUCCUACUAACUGAAGGAUUUAACAUGUCGCCUAUGAUGCCCACGGGACCAAGUCACCAGCUGCAGCGACUGUUUCCAGACCUGCUCAGCCAGAUGAGCCCCUUGUGGCUAAAGCUUCAGUAAAAGCGAAGACUCUGCUGCCGGUCCCUCCUCAGCUGCUCGCCAUCGCCCCUCAGCUUGUGAGGGAAGAUCAGGAACCCAACGUGUUGAGGCCAACACAUGCAAAGCCAGCGUCCCACACCUCUUCUGCAGAGCCG